rnacentral:rRNA from 1 species
UACGUAGGUGACAAGCGUUGCCCGGAUUUAUUGGGCGUAAAGGGCGCGUAGGCGGUCACGCACGUCCGUUGUGAAAUCGCUCGGCUCAACUGGGCGGGGUCAGCGGAUACGGCGUGGCUGGAGCAAGCUAGGGGGCAAUGGAAUUCCCGGUGUAGUGGUGGAAUGCGUAGAUGUCGGGAGGAACACCAGUGGCGAAGGCGGUUGCCUGGAGCUUUGCUGACGCUGAUGCGCGAAAGCGUGGGGAGCGAUCCGG